rnacentral:rRNA from 1 species
UACAGAGGUCUCGAGCGUUGUUCGGAUUCAUUGGGCGUAAAGGGUGCGUAGGUGGCGCUGUAAGUCAGGUGUGAAAUUUCGGAGCUUAACUCCGAAACUGCAUUCGAUACUGCCGUGCUUGAGGACUGGAGAGGAGACUGGAAUUUACGGUGUAGCGGUGAAAUGCGUAGAUAUCGGGAGGAACACCUGUGGCGAAAGCGGCUCACUGGACCACAACUGACGCUGAGGCGCGAAAGCUAGGGGAGCAACAGGG